GACAUAGGUCGCAAACGUUAUCCGGAAUUAUUGGGCGUAAAGGAUGCGUAGAUGGUUCAGUAAGUUACUGGUGGGAAUCGAGGCCCAACCUCGUGGAAGUUAGUAAUACUGUUGAACUUGAGUGCAGGAGAGGUUAACGGAACUUCAUGUGGAGCGGUAAAAUGCGUAGAUAUAUGAAAGAACAUCAAUAUGGCGAAGGCAGUUAACUAUUCUGCUACUGACAUUGAGGCAUGAAAGCGUGGGGAGCAAAACGG
rnacentral:rRNA from 1 species